rnacentral:rRNA from 3 species
AGUCAUAUGCUUGUCUCAAAGAUUAAGCCAUGCAUGUCUCAGUACAAGCCAAAUUAAGGUGAAACCGCGAAAGGCUCAUUAAAUCAGUUAUGGUUCCUUAGAUCGUACACACAUUUACUUGGAUAACUGUGGUAAUUCUAGAGCUAAUACAUGCCAACAGAACUCCGACCGGAGACGGAAGGAGUGCCUUUAUUAGAUCAAAACCAAUCGGUGGCGCGGCUUCGGUCGUGUCAUCGUACAAUAUGGUGAAUCUGAAUAACGUUUGCUGAUCGCACGGUCUCGCACCGGCGACGCAUCUUUCAAAUGUCUGCCUUAUCAACUGUCGAUGGUAGGUUCUGCGCCUACCAUGGUUGUAACGGGUAACGGGGAAUCAGGGUUCGAUUCCGGAGAGGGAGCCUGAGAAACGGCUACCACAUCCAAGGAAGGCAGCAGGCGCGCAAAUUACCCACUCCCGGCACGGGGAGGUAGUGACGAAAAAUAACGAUACGGGACUCAUCCGAGGCCCCGUAAUCGGAAUGAGCACACUUUAAAUCCUUUCACGAGGAUCAAUCGGAGGGCAAGUCAGGUGCCAGCAGCCGCGGUAAUUCCUGCUCCGAUAGCGUAU